AUAGCCCCAGUUUCUGAAAUCCAGAUUAUCUGAUUUCAAUUGGAAUUAUAUGGCAGUGUAGACUAGACUCAUAUAAUCCAGUUCCAAACAGAUAAUCUUGAUUCAGAACCGAAUUGUAUGGCAGUGCAGAUCCAGCCUGAAUCUACACUCAAUUUUUCAUCUGCAUUCUGAAAUUGGAUCCUAUAACUACCCUAGAUUUCCCCUUGAGGCUGCAUCUACAUUGUCAAUAUCAUGCAAUUUCACACCACUUUAACAGCCAUGGCUCCAUGCUAUGGAAUUUUGGGAGUUGUAGUUUGGUGAGGCAUCAGCACUCUUUAAGAGAAGGCAGAAGACUGUGUAAAACUACAGCUCCCAUGAGUCUAUAGUAUAGAGGCACGGCAGUUAAAGUGGUGUCAAACUGCACUAGUUCCACAGUGCAGAUGCACCCUGUCUAAAACCAGCUCUGACUCUUAUCUAGUCCAAAACCAUGUUCUCCUGGAUCACGAUCCCCAAGUGACACAUAUUCAAGGGGAAACGUCAGUGGUAUGAUGUUAUGAAAAACAUCACACACACACAUAUUAAGUGUCUCUUGUUGACAGUUACUCCAGCCUCCAUCUCUUCUGGGCUUCUAUUAUGACAUCAGUCCAGGAGCCUCAGGUUCACAUCUUUGGCCAACUGCCACAUGGAGAUCGCUGAGAUGUGGGCCUGCACAUCACCACUGAAAGCGGGAAAUAGAUUAUAUGGGGACAUCCCCACCUUGAUCCUAAUUUCAUGGGUUUUUUUAGGGCUCUGGAUCACUGAGGUCAAAGCUGGACCCAUUGGUGGAGGGGCAGAAGGUAAGAAAGCAACCUUUUUGCCCUAGAGAUGGGUCUGUCAGUGUCAAGCUCUUCUUAAUUAUUUAUAGUGCUUAAGGUUGCCACGAAGGACUAACUAUUUAUGGCACUUAGGGGCUGCCAUAAAGGACACCAGAUCCUGCCUGAUCUUGGAAGCCAAGCAAGACCAGAUCUGGUUAGUACAUGGAUGGGAGACCACGCAAAAUACCAGUGCCUGACAUGUGCCCUAUUAUCUACCGCCAUAUCCCCCGCGACUCCAGAGACCUCAUCCCUGUACCCCGUUCAGAGGGUUUCUCCAUCCUGUGCAGAGUGAAUACCUCUACAUCCCUCUGUGAAUGGAUCCUGAUCGCCACCAGAGAUCGCUCCUACUAUUUCAACAGGGACAUGAAAAACCACAUUGUCUUGCACCCCCUGGGCCUCAUCGUCACUCACAUGAACAAGGAGCUGGAAGGGGAGUACCAGAUCCUCUCGGGCCUCAACAGGACCUGUAUGGGCCGGGUCUUGAUGACAGCUGUGGGUGAGUUUCUUGGGAAAUCAUAUGGUUGUCAGAAACCAUCCAGUCCAACUCCAUUCUGCCAUGUCGAACACACAGUGAAAGCACUCCCGACAGAUGGCCAUCCAGCCUCUGCUUUGAAACCUCGGGAGAACAAGACUCCACCACCCUCUGAGGAAAUUGUGGUCAGAAAUUUCUUCCUAAUGUUUAAGUGGAAUCUCUUGGACAACCAGUUAAACAUGAGCCUACAGUGUGAUGUGGCAGCUAAAAAAGCCAAUGGGAGUUUGUCCUGCAUAAAUAGGAGUAUAGUGUCUAGAUCCAGGGAAGUCAUGCUGCCUUGGUCAGACCACAUCUGGAAUCACACUGUGUUCAAUUCUGGGCACCGCAAUUGA
ensembl:lncRNA